AAAUAAGUAAAUAUAAUUUAUUAUUUCAAUACAUGGAUUUUAUUAUUUUAUGUAAAAGAAUUCUCUAGAACCUAAAUUUUGAUUAAUAAAAAAAAUAAAAAAGACUCUUUAAUUAAUCUUUCCAAUUCCAAUGAAAUGAUAGAACUUAGAAAUUCCAUCUUUCAUCUCCCUCGUUCUCAACUUUGUCUCUGAAAUUUCUCAACCUGUGUAUUUCUUCAAAAACUUUCUUGUUGG
rnacentral:lncRNA from 1 species